AUUGAUGAGUUGCUUUGAAGAAGAUGAUUUGCACAUCAGAUUUCAUCUGACUGACAAUUUUAAGUCCGCUGUCUGAAGGCACGAUCAUCGGGAAGCAGCUACUCGUAGAGGGCUUCAUCGUGUCACGAUGGCUACCGCGCUGGCGCGAAGGCAUCAAGCAGAUGAGAGACUGGAUUGAUCAGGGCAAGCUGAAGUAUAAAGAAACUGUAACUCUAGGGUUUGAGAACCAGCCCAAGGCGUUCAUCGGGCUGUUCACGGGUGACAACAUUGGCAAGGCGGUCGUCAAGGCCUGAGGACUCAUUCGUUUAGGGAUGAUAGGCUUACUCCUACAAUUGUUGCAAAGAAAUUCUAGAUUGAAAUAGCAAGACCAACAAAUACAAUUGUGUGCAAUGUAUCACAGUCACCAUGACACUACCGAAACAAUUGUAAGUCAAGAUUGCUGAACACAAUCGGAUGUUGCCGAUACCUCGAUGUCGACGUACAGAUGUUCAUCUUACCGCGAACUUGAAAAUUUAAUUGUGUGGAUUGUUUGUAUAAAUUACCUUGUCAUACUUCUUAACUAUCCAUAUGGAAUGGAAGUUUCACUCCAGUGCUUUUCUUUUUGUAGAGAACGCCUUCAAGCGCAAGUAUCAAAUCGAGGAACCGGAACUUAAAGUUCAAAUACAUGAGAAGUUGAGAA